rnacentral:lncRNA from 1 species
AUGAAAAUUGAGAUUUAACACUAGUUCAAGAGGUGCUAAACAUAGGGAGUACACUCACGAAAGUAGAGGUGCACUUAUGUGGUUUUUAGUGAUUCAUUUCAUGUAAUUUCAUUGAAGAAAUGAACUUGUAGCUAAUUUCAUAACCAUGAAAAUAGGUAUGGAUUAGUUAUGAGUAUAGUUGAUUCACUACGAAAGUAGGUUUCACAUGUUUAAGGAAAUUACACCAUAACUAGCCUAGAUGUAGUAAUUAAUGAUCCAAAUAUAGCACUUGCAUGAGUAGUUAGGGAUGCCACAACCUAAGGAGCUUUUAUUUGCUAUUUUCUUGUAUAAUUUCAAUAGGUUUUAAUUUGCUAUAAUUCGUUGAUAGUCUAAAUAAUAGAGAAAC